CAGGAGUGUGAAUGGUUGUCUUCCUCUGUGUGAUAGUCUUGCAAUAGACCGGUGAUCUCUGGUGACUUUAUUUCCUCAUCAGACAUGGGUCAUAUGAUCAAGUGGAUUAACCUCAGCGAACUUCCAGGUAAAUUAAAAGGACGACUGAACAACAGAACAUCCAUGAUGUACAUCGAUAUGAUGAAGAUCAAAUAAAGAUGCAAA